AAGAUAACUCCACCUGUAACUCCUCCGCGGGUUACUGCCGGUCCCAAGCCCGGAUAAAAGGAGGAGGGUUGG
rnacentral:ribozyme from 2 species